rnacentral:rRNA from 1 species
ACGGGUGAGUAACACGUGGGCAACCUGCCCUUGAGACUGGGAUAACUUCGGGAAACCGGAGCUAAUACCGGAUAAUAUAAGGAACCUCCUGGUUCCUUAUUGAAAGAUGGUUUCGGCUAUCACUUAAGGAUGGGCCCGCGGCGCAUUAGCUAGUUGGUGAGGUAACGGCUCACCAAGGCGACGAUGCGUAGCCGACCUGAGAGGGUGAUCGGCCACACUGGGACUGAGACACGGCCCAGACUCCUACGGGAGGCAGCAGUAGGGAAUCUUCCACAAUGGACGAAAGUCUGAUGGAGCAACGCCGCGUGAGUGAUGAAGGCCUUCGGGUCGUAAAGCUCUGUUGUUAGGGAAGAACAAGUGCGAGAGUAACUGCUCGCACCUUGACGGUACCUAACCAGAAAGCCACGGCUAACUACGUGCCAGCAGCCGCGGUAAUACGUAGGCGGCAAGCGUUAUCCGGAAUUAUUGGGCGUAAAGCGCGCGCAGGUGGUUUCUUAAGUCUGAUGUGAAAGCCCACGGCUCAACCGUGGAGGGUCAUUGGAAACUGGGGAACUUGAGUGCAGAAGAGGAAAGUGGA